AUGCAAUCAAGGCCUACAUCGACAUCGUUGGAUCUGUAAGCAAUUCGUUCUUGAAAAGUUUCUUGCUUGAGUUGAUUUAUAGCCCUAUGAAUUUGAUUUCUUUAGUUUAGUUUAGUUUUUUUUCUUGAUUUUUAUGAUCUGGGUUUUGUUUGCAGUGUGAGGUUUUUCAUGAAUUUGGGGUUGAAGAGCAAAGAAGAAGAGGACUUCGCAAUUUUUGGUUGUUGGGAAUUUCUAAGAUUAUUUUACUAUUCGAUGAACUCACUUGCUACUGAUAUUCUUAAAUGGAGUUUUGGGGAGGAAGAAGGAAGCGGCUGGG
rnacentral:lncRNA from 1 species